UGGAAACUNUCUGACUUGAGUGCAGAAGGGGAGAGUGGAAUUCCAUGUGUAGCGGUGAAAUGCGUAGAUAUAUGGAGGAACACCAGUGGCGAAAGCGGCUCUCUGGUCUGUCACUGACGCUGAGGCACGAAAGCGUGGGUAGCGAACAGGAUUAGAUACCCUGGUAGUNCACGCCGUAAACGAUGAGUGCUAGGUGUUAGGCCCUUUCCGGGGCUUAGUGCCGGAGCUAACGCAAUAAGCACUCCGCCUGGGGAGUACGACCGCAAGGUUGAAACUCAAAGGAAUUGACGGGGGCCCGCACAAGCGGUGGAGCAUGUGGUUUAAUUCGAAGCAACGCGAAGAACCUUACCAGGUCUUGACAUCCCGAUGCUAUUCUUAGAGAUAGGAAGUUACUUCGGUACAUCGGAGACAGGUGGUGCAUGGUUGUCGUCAGCUCGUGUCGUGAGAUGUUGGGUUAAGUCCCGCAACGAGCGCAACCCUUAUUGUUAGUUGCCAUCAUUAAGUUGGGCACUCUAGCGAGACUGCCGGUAAUAAACCGGAGGAAGGUGGGGAUGACGUCAAAUCAUCAUGCCCCUUAUGACCUGGGCUACACACGUGCUACAAUGGUCGGUACAACGAGUUGCGAGCCGGUGACGGCAAGCUAAUCUCUGAAAGCCGAUCUCAGUUCGGAUUGGAGGCUGCAACUCGCCUCCAUGAAGUCGGAAUCGCUAGUAAUCGCGGAUCAGCACGCCGCGGUGAAUACGUUCCCGGGCCUUGUACACACCGCCCGUCACACCACGAGAGUUUGUAACACCCGAAGUCGGUGAGGUANCCUUUUAGGG
rnacentral:rRNA from 1 species